AUUGAACGCUGGCGGCAGGCCUAACACAUGCAAGUCGAACGGUAACAGGAAGAAGCUUGCUUCUUUGCUGACGAGUGGCGGACGGGUGAGUAAUGUCUGGGAAACUGCCUGAUGGAGGGGGUUAACUACUGGAAACGGUAGCUAAUACCGCAUAACGUCGCAAGACCAAAGAGGGGGACCUUCGGGCCUCUUGCCAUCGGAUGUGCCCAGAUGGGAUUAGCUAGUAGGUGGGGUAACGGCUCACCUAGGCGACGAUCCCUAGCUGGUCUGAGAGGAUGACCAGCCACACCGGAACUGGGACACGGUCCAGACUCCUACGGGAGGCAGCAGUGGGGAAUAUUGCACGAUGGGCGCAAUCCUGAUGUAGCCAUGCCGCGUGUAUGAAGAAGGCCUUGGGGUUGUAAAGUACUUUCAGCGGGGAGGUUGUGAGUAAAGUUAAUACCUUUGCUCAUUGACGUUACCCGCAGAAGAAGCACCGGCUAACUCCGUG
rnacentral:rRNA from 1 species